rnacentral:rRNA from 1 species
UACGGAGGGUGCGAGCGUUACCCGGAUUUACUGGGUGUAAAGGGCGUGUAGGCGGUCUCUCAAGUCCGAUGCUAAAGACCGAAGCUCAACUUCGGGGGUGCGUUGGAUACUGUGAGGCUAGACGGUCGGAGAGGGUAGCGGAAUUUCCGGAGUAGCGGUGAAAUGCGCAGAUACCGGAAGGAACGCCAAUAGCGAAAGCAGCUACCUGGACGAUUGGUGACGCUGAGGCGCGAAAGCGUGGGGAGCAAACCGG